UUGGUGGUGACAAAAGUGUCGAGGAAUCCCACGAAUUGGCAGAAGCCGCUGCCUUCGGGGUAGCCCGCGGUGACGAGGCCGACCAGGAUCAAGUGUUCCAGUAGAUGAGAACAAACUGGACAAUUAUUUGAUCCAGGUCUUGUUCCACGUCUCCAGCAGAGAGCCUGCUGAUCCUCCUGCCGAUGGGAGAAGAGGUGAAUAAAUCACAGCAGUCUUCCUGUAGAGCUGCGGAGUGUGCAGCCUGCUGGUGGUACUGGACCGUCGUGGAAGAGAGAAGAAUACUUGUCCACAGCCUGCUGGAAAGGAGUCAAGUGGAGGGCAAGCACCUGGGCCAGACGACCUUUACCUGCAGAAAGCCAAAGAAGAGUGACCCUGGAGCUGGAGGAGGAGGAGGAGGCUUCGGACAUCCACCUCGGUCAAAAAGGCCAGUUUCAGAAUAUCAGGAACGAGUGAGUGAAGCAUUUAGCUUCAUUUAGCUCUAAGUCCUGUCAUCAAAACCGGAAUGGUAGCACUCUCCAUCCAUUUCCUCAUCCGCUUAAACCCCUCUCUCUCUGUGUGCGUCACACGUUGAUGCUUCCUCGUUACCGCUCAUGUUUCCAAAGUGUGACACUGUACUCUUGUAUGUUGGAAACUUGUCCAUGCAAAGACAUCCCUCUGACCAUCGCUGCUCUCGGCAGCACGGAGGGAAUGAAAGGAGCAUUGUGUGCCGCUUCAUGCUCCAUGGCCAAUUGACUUCUUUUCCCAUUAAUCAAAUGCACUGUUUACUUAAUCUUUCAUAGCAUUUCAGAACCAUUAAAACCAAGAGGAUUAUCCUA